rnacentral:tRNA from 1 species
GCCUCCAUCGCAUAGUGGUAUUGCACCGGACUUGAGAUCCGGGCCCUUUGGGCUCGCAGGUUCGAUUCCUGCUGGGGGCG